rnacentral:tRNA from 1 species
GGAGAGGUAUCGAAGAGGUCAUAACGAGCUCGACUCGAAAUCGAGUUGCCGGGGAUACCUGGCAAGUGGGUUCGAAUCCCAUCCUCUCCG